GGGGAUGUAAUGGUUUCGACAUUACACCAGAAAAAUAGAUAGCAAGUAGUGGAUUCUCGUUGGCCACUUAAAAAACGAGAAAAUAAAAUAAACGCUGAUAAACAAGAAUUAGCAUACGCUGCCUAAGUUGUAGUGUCAUCUUACUAAAUAGCCUACUGAUUUAGAUAAGGUGUCGAAAUAAAGUAGGAAACGAAGCUGUUUUUUCUUUAGAAAUAGUGGGUAUUUUAUAAAGAUAUAUUUAUUUUUAGCCUGUUUGCCGGCGAAAAGUAAAUGAAAAUAAAAGACAAAAUAAACUUGUAGAAGUCUAUUUGGAAAGUGUUAUGGACAGGAGUUCGACUCUCCUCAUCUCCACCA
rnacentral:tmRNA from 1 species